CGGCGACCCCGACCCCUCCACUGAGGUCGCCGGCGUCCUCUGUGGACGCGGGCGACCUCGGUGGAGGGGUCGGGGUUGCCGA
rnacentral:pre_miRNA from 1 species